UUCUACCAUAUUUUUUUUCAAGUUGUGGAUUAAGAUUCAUGAUUAUCCUUAAUCCUUAAUUUUUGAAAUUAUUCUUAAUAAAAAAAAAUUUGAAAUUAUGAUUAUUUAUAAAUUAAAACAAAAAGGGGAAAAAACCUACAGUUGAGCGGUUUACGUUGAUCGCCAGGCUCCUAAGAUUUUUCUGUCUUUCUCGGCAUUCUCUACAUCUCGCUUUUGUUAAAAGAUAAAAUCUUUAGUGUUUGGUUUGAUCCUUCGUUUUAAUUUUUAAUGUGAAGCUAUGGAGAAAAAUUUGCGCAGAAACAUCAAUAGAAGUCUCGCUGAUUGCAGAGAAUUGGAAGCCGCUUCUUGGUAGAAUCAUUUUUCAGUACAUACACGGGUUAGCUGCUCAUGGAAUUCAUUACUUACAUAGGCCAGGGCCAACGCUUCAGGACACUGGCUUUUUCUUCUUCCAGAACUUGGACAAGAUAAAGCUUAUAUAAGUGAGACUCUUUUCACUUUCAUCUUUUGUUCUUUUGUGUUGUGGACUUUUCACCCUUUCAUUUUUCAGUACAAAAAAAUCUACACAGCUUUAGUCUGGUGCAGGGUUCUUGCUUAUUUAGUGUUUCCUGAGGGGUUAAUUAUGGCUGUGGUGAUUUGAUAUUUUCAUCACACAUGAUUUUCAAUAUAGUGUUCGUUCGCGCAUAUUAUAAGUAUGGGCAAGGAGGUGAAU